AGAUCAAAGAGUAAUUUUUUUUGUUAAAAAUUAACGUGGUUGAUAGAAUAACCGGAAAAUGACACGUGAUGUGCCAUAUAUAUCUCAUGCUGAUGUACAUAGUCCAAUUUUUAAUAAUAAGAAUGGAUAAAAUUUUUAACA
rnacentral:pre_miRNA from 1 species